rnacentral:rRNA from 1 species
UGGGGAAUUUUGGACAAUGGGCGCAAGCCUGAUCCAGCCAUGCCGCGUGUCUGAAGAAGGCCUUCGGGUUGUAAAGGACUUUUGUCAGGGAAGAAAAGGAUAGGGUUAAUACCCCUGUCUGAUGACGGUACCUGAAGAAUAAGCACCGGCUAACUACGUGCCAGCAGCCGCGGUAAUACGUAGGGUGCGAGCGUUAAUCGGAAUUACUGGGCGUAAAGCGGGCGCAGACGGUUACUUAAGCAGGAUGUGAAAUCCCCGGGCUCAACCUGGGAACUGCGUUCUGAACUGGGUGACUAGAGUGUGUCAGAGGGAGGUAGAAUUCCACGUGUAGCAGUGAAAUGCGUAGAGAUGUGGAGGAAUACCGAUGGCGAAGGCAGCCUCCUGGGAUAACACUGACGUUCAUGCCCGAAAGCGUGGGUAGCAAACAGGAUUAGAUACCCUGGUAGUCCACGCCCUAAACGAUGUCGAUUAGCUGUUGGGCAGCUUGACUGCUUAGUAGCGAAGCUAACGCGUGAAAUCGACCGCCUGGGGAGUACGGUCGCAAGAUUAA